AACAAGGUCUCCGUUGGUGAACCAGCGGAGGGAUCAUUAUCGAGUUAUUCAACUCCCAAACCCUAUGUGAACUUACCACUUGUUGCUUCGGCGCGCGCUUCGGCGCCGCCGAGGACACUUAAACUCUUUGUUUUUAUAAGCAUUUCUGAGUGGCCGAAAGGCAAAAAUACAAAUGAAUCAAAACUUUCAACAACGGAUCUCUUGGUUCUGGCAUCGAUGAAGAACGCAGCGAAAUGCGAUAAGUAAUGUGAAUUGCAGAAUUCAGUGAAUCAUCGAAUCUUUGAACGCACAUUGCGCCCGCCAGCAUUCUGGCGGGCAUGCCUGUUCGAGCGUCAUUUCAACCCUCGAGCCCGACUCUUUUGAGGACGGCUCGGCGUUGGGGGACGGCAGACUCCCCCCGGCAUCUCGCCGGGGACGCCGCCCCCGAAAUCUAGUGGCGGCCCUCCGAGGCGACCUCUGCGUAGUAACUUGUUCUCGCACCGGAAAGCUCAGAGCGGCCACGCCGUANAACCCCAACUUUUUUCAGGUUGACCUCGAAUCAGGUAGGACUACCCGCUGAACUUAAGCAUAUCAAUA
rnacentral:rRNA from 1 species